CCGGAGCGCCAGCUUCGGUGGAGGCAACGUUGGGAUACCACCCUGAUCGUAUCGGAGUUCUAACCUGGUACCGUAAUCCGGUACAGGGACCGUGUCAGGUGGGCAGUUUGACUGGGGCGGUCGCCUCCUAAAAUGUAACGGAGGCGCCCAAAGGUUCCCUCAGAAUGGUUGGAAAUCAUUCGUAGCGUGUAAAGGCAUAAGGGAGCUUGACUGCGAGACCUACAAGUCGAGCAGGGACGAAAGUCGGGCUUAGUGAUCCGGUGGUACCGAAUGGAAGGGCCAUCGCUCAACGGAUAAAAGCUACCCUGGGGAUAACAGGCUUAUCUCCCCCAAGAGUCCACAUCGACGGGGAGGUUUGGCACCUCGAUGUCGGCUCAUCGCAUCCUGGGGCUGAAGUAGGUCCCAAGGGUUGGGCUGUUCGCCCAUUAAAGCGGUACGCGAGCUGGGUUCAGAACGUCGUGAGACAGUUCGGUCCCUAUCUGUCGUGGGCGUAGGAAAUUUGAGAGGAGCUGUCCUUAGUACGAGAGGACCGGGAUGGACGCACCGCUGGUGUACCAGUUGUUCCGCCAGGAGCACCGCUGGGUAGCCAAGUGCGGACGGGAUAAGCGCUGAAAGCAUCUAAGCGUGAAGCCCCCCUCAAGAUGAGAUUUCCCAGUAUGUAAGACCCCUGAAAGACGAUCAGGUUGAUAGGUUCGAGGUGGAAGUGCAGCAAUGCAUGCAGCUGACGAAUACUAAUCGGUCGAGGGCUUAUCCUA
rnacentral:rRNA from 1 species